GCCUAUCAGGAGUCCUCCAUUAGCAUAAAUGUACUUGGGGGCCUAUCAGGAGUCCUCCAUUAGCAUAAAUGUACUUGGGGGCCUACCAGGAGUCCUCCAUUAGCAUAAAUGUACUUGGGGGCCUAUCAGGAGUCCUCCAUUAGCAUAAAUGUACUUGGGGGCCUAUCAGGAGUCCUCCAUUAGCAUAAAUGUACUUGGGGGCCUAUCAGGAGUCCUCCAUUAGCAUAAACACAGGUGUGGUUGCAGGGGGCUUAUUAAGAGUUGCAGAAGACACUCCUUCUACCCCUGUCACUCAGGAAAUUCCAAGGGUUUUAGGGGCUCUGGUACCAGGAGCUGGGGAUAAAGAUUAAACAUAUAUUUCUUAUUAUAUCACAAGAUCACAGGAAGACACAUGCAUUACAUCACACUCUGACACACACAGGGUCAUACACAAUCAUACCUGCCCAGACACACACAGACAUGCAGAGACACCCAAACCCAUAUCCAGGGACACACAGUCGCCCUCCUAACCCCCAUGCAAGGAGGCAGGUGGGAAGCCAUCACCUGCAGCCACACUCACACAUGCACACAGGGUCCCGGGCACACGUAGCUACACACACACCCAGCCCCACACGUAGCUCCCUGUGUGAAGAGGUGCACAGAGACGCACAAGGUCACACAUGCCACCUGCUCCACACAGGCCGGCCAUUACUGGGACACACCCACAGGGGAUGGCUGGACACAUGUGCAGUCACACUCGGUGGAUAGAGCUCCAGCAUAGCCAAAGCCCACAUGUGCAGCGUCUCCAUCAUGUGCAGAUGCACACACUUCAGACAGCACGGCACUCUACAGGCUCGCACAGCCAGGUCACCCAUCAUUGUGCUGGCAGGCACACGGGCCGAGCCAGCCUACACGGCGGCACACCCAGACAUGCACACGUGGGGUCACACACCUCACAUCCAGGAGAACUUUCAGACUUGCCCAAAGGCAGCCACACGUGUAUGUGACAUGCUGUGAUAUGCAGACACCGCUUCACAUGAACGAGCACAUAACACACCGAUAAAGUGUUACAUGCCUUUACCUGCAGUCACCUGCCUGGGCUGGCACCACUGAGUGAGCAGGUGCAGACACAGUGACACUCGGGGACGGGCUCACAGGCAGUCACACACCUGCAAGGCCUGGCACCGCCGAGUGAGCAGGUACAGACACAGUGAUGGGCUGGCACCGCCAAGUGAGCAGGGGCAGACGCUGUGACACUCAGGGACGGGCUCACAGGCAGUCACACACCUGCACCUGCUGGUACCGUCGAGUGAGCAGGUGCAGACGCUGUGACACUCAGGGACAGGCUCACAGCCAGUCACACACCUGCACGGCCUGGCACCGCCAAGUGAGCAGGUACAGACACAGUGACGGGCUGGCACCGCCGAGUAAGCAGGUGCAGAUGCAGUGACAGGCUCACAGGCAGUCACACACCUGCACCUGCUGGUACCGUCGAGUGACCAGGUGCAGACGCUGUGUUACUCAGGGACGGGCUCACAGGCAGUCACACACCUAUACGGGCUGACACCGCUAAGUGAACAGGUGCAGACACAAUGGCACUCGGGGACGGGCUCACACGCGGUCACACACCUGCAGGAACACGCGCACACUACACACCGUUGCUCUCGCCUCCCGGUAUCACCUUCGAACGCGCUGGCCGGCCCCCUCCUAGCCUGGUGCAGUCGGCUCCGCUUCUACUCAGUCUCGGGUCCUCCUGGGCCAACGCAGACCCUGGUGCCUCCUUCCUUAGACGAGCUAAGGUCAAGACUUCUGCUGCUGCGGAGGAGCCCGCGCACCAGGCCGGGGUGGACUGCGCCUGCGCAUCGGGCCCGCCUGGUUCUUAGGAACUACGACUCCCAGGGGGCGCUGCGCGCUCGCCGGCACCGCGACUAAAGCUUGCAAAGCCUGGGUCAUCGAAACUACAACUCCCAGAAGGCUAAGCGUCUGCACACGCUAGGUCCGCAGGGCGCUGACCCCUGGGGGCCCGAGGAGCGCCGGGCUGCUGCCCCGAGCCCCGCCCACUACAGCCUCAGUGCAUGGCGGUGGGCGCUUCCAGUAACUCAGGGGUGGGACUUUUUUCUUGCUCAGGGGAUGAGGCCGAGCCCACAGGCUUAGAAAGAAGGAACUUGAGUCCGGGCACCUGUCAUCCCAGCGCUUAGGGAGGCCGAGGCGGGUGGAUCACCUGAGGUCAGGAGUUCGAGACCAGCCUGGCCAAUAUGGCGAAACCCCCGUCUCUACUAAAAAUACAAAAAUUAGCCGAGCAUGGUGGCAUGCACUUCCAGCUACUUGGAAGGCUGAGGCGGGAGAAUGGCUUGAACCUGGGAGGCGAGGGUUGCAGUGAGCUGAGAUCGCACCACUGCACUCCAGCCUGGGUGACAGAGCGAGACUUCGUCUCAAAAAAAAAGAAGAAGAAAGAAGGAAGCUGAGGUUCAGACAGGCUAAGUCCCUACUGCAGGCUGCGGAAUCUAAAAAGGUCAUGAACUCUGAGAGUUUGAGAUGAGCCUCUAAAAGCUGUAUCAAUAGCACCUUGCACUGUUGAAGCAGGUAAGUGUUUUCCUUGUUACUUCUUAAGUUCAGUUGGAAACCCAACAUAGCAAAUCCUCUAGAAUGCAGCUGAAGCAGUACUAAGGCUGGGUGUGGUGGCUCAUGCCUAUAAUCCUGUAGGGAGGCAAAAGCGGGAGGAUUGCUGGAGCCCAGGAGUUCAAGACCAGCCUGGGCAACACGGCAAGACCUGGUUCUCCACAAAAAGGAAAAAAAAAUGCUAAGAGGCAAGUAUAUAGCAAUAAACUCCUACAUCAAAAAAGUAGAAACAUUUCAAAUAAGAGAUUGGGGGCAGUGGCUCAUGCCUGUAAUCCUAGCACUUUUGGAGGCCGAGGUGGGUAGAUUGCUUGAGACCAGGAGUUCGAGACCAGCAUGGGCAACAUAGCGAGACCCUGUCUCUACAAAAAAUCAGAAAAUUAGCCAGGCGUGGUGGUGCAAGCCUGUAGCCCCAGCUACUCGGGAGGCUAGGGUGGGAGGAUUGAUUGAGCCUUUGAGGUAGAGGUUGCAGUGAGCUGAGAUUGUGCCAUUGCAUUCCAGCCUGGGUGACAGAGCUAGACCCUGUCUCAAAAAAAGAAAGAGAGAAAGAAAGAGAAAUAAAUAAAGAGAGAAAGAAAGAAAA
ensembl:lncRNA novel transcript (contains ZIM2-AS1 and PEG3-AS1)